UACGUAGGGUGCGAGCGUUGUCCGGAUUUAUUGGGCGUAAAGAGCUCGUAGGCGGUCUGUCGCGUCGGAUGUGAAAACCCAGGGCUCAACCCUGGGCCUGCAUUCGAUACGGGCAGACUAGAGUACGGCAGGGGAGACUGGAAUUCCUGGUGUAGCGGUGAAAUGCGCAGAUAUCAGGAAGAACACCCGUGGCGAAGGCGGCACUCUGGGACGGUACUGACGCUGAGACGCGAAAGCGUGGGGAGCGAACAGG
rnacentral:rRNA from 1 species